CUGGCUCAGGACGAACGCUGGCGGCGUGCCUAAUACAUGCAAGUCGAGCGGACGGAUGGGAGCUUGCUCCCGGAAGUCAGCGGCGGACGGGUGAGUAACACGUGGGCAACCUGCCUGUAAGACUGGGAUAACUUCGGGAAACCGGAGCUAAUACCGGAUAAUUCUUUCCCUCACAUGAGGGAAA
rnacentral:rRNA from 1 species